UCGACCCUGUGACAUUCUUCUGGACAAUGAGUCCCAUCAUCUCUCCACCAUGCACCUUGUGACUCCCUCCUCUGCUGACAACAGAUAACCACCUUUAACUCCUGUUUAGGUGGUCUUCUAUACGGACAUGCUUGACACUUGGUGCCAAAAUCUGGGCCAGGGGGACUCCUUCGUGAGACCGGCCCCCUGUCCUGGCCCUCAUUCCGUGAAGAGAUCCACCUGCGACCUCGGGUCCUCAGACCAGCCCAAGGAACAUCUCACCAAUUUCAAAUCGGAUCUCCUCGGCUUAGUGGCUGAAGACUGAUGCUGCCCGAUCGCCUCAGAAGCCCCUUGGACCAUCACAGAUGCCGAGCUUCGGGUAACUCUUACGGUGGAGGUCUAAAACGCUUAGGCUGGCAACCAUCAGAUCCUUGCCCAUGGUGUCCUCAAGCCUACUCUCAUGAAAUGGACAACAGUACACGCAUAUGGGGCCAGUUCCACAUAUUUGGCAACCAGACCAGCAUCCAGGACAACACAAAGAUCUGCAAUCAGAACUAUUGAACUUCUCCAUUCAGACCGCCACUCACACCUAUGGGAAAAGGGUAAUGUAUCAUCGGCUUAGCAACAGGGAAUACUAUUCGUAUGAUGGAAAAUGGGGACAAAAGGCUUUGGUACAUAAAACAUUAUUCCUUCCUUGGCCUAAAAACUCAUCGCCACCUACAUUAAAGCUAAUAUGCCUGA
ensembl:lncRNA UCA1 urothelial cancer associated 1